rnacentral:rRNA from 1 species
GGCUACCGACUUCACUCCAACCCCUGUGAACAUACCAAUUGUUGCCUCGGCGGAUCAGCCCGCUCCCGGUAAAACGGGACGGCCCGCCAGAGGACCCCUAAACUCUGUUUCUAUAUGUAACUUCUGAGUAAAACCAUAAAUAAAUCAAAACUUUCAACAACGGAUCUCUUGGUUCUGGCAUCGAUGAAGAACGCAGCAAAAUGCGAUAAGUAAUGUGAAUUGCAGAAUUCAGUGAAUCAUCGAAUCUUUGAACGCACAUUGCGCCCGCCAGUAUUCUGGCGGGCAUGCCUGUUCGAGCGUCAUUUCAACCCUCAAGCCCCCGGGUUUGGUGUUGGGGAUCGGCGAGCCCUUGCGGCAAGCCGGCCCCGAAAUCUAGUGGCGGUCUCGCUGCAGCUUCCAUUGCGUAGUAGUAAAACCCUCGCAACUGGUACGCGGCGCGGCCAAGCCGUUAAACCCCCAACUUCUGAAUGUUGACCUCGGAUCAGGUAGGAAUACCCGCUGAACUUAAGCAUAUCAAUAAGGCGGAGGAAUAUCUUUACCGAGUUUACAACUCCCAAACCCUGUGAAAAUACAAUUGUUGACCGGGGGAAUACCGCUCGGUAAAAAGGGACGGCCGCCGAGGACCCUAAACUCUGUUUCUAUAUGUAACUUCUGAGUAAAACAUAAAUAAAUCCAAAACUUUCAACACGGAACUCUUGGUUCUGGCAUCUAUUAAGAAAGCAGCAAAAUGCGAUAAGUAAUGUGAAUUGCAGAACUCAGUGAAAUCAUCGAAACCUUUGAACGCACAUUGCGGCCGCCACUAUUCUGGCGGGAAUGCCUGUUCCAGCGUCAUUUCACCCACACCCCCGGUGUUGUG